AUUGAACGCUGGUGGAAUGCUUUACACAUGCAAGUCGAACGGCAGCACGGACUUCGGUCUGGUGGCGAGUGGCGAACGGGUGAGUAAUGUAUCGGAACGUGCCCAGUCGUGGGGGAUAACGUAGUGAAAAUUACGCUAAUACCGCAUACGAUCUAUGGAUGAAAGCGGGGGAUCGCAAGACCUCGCGCGUUUGGAGCGGCCGAUAUCAGAUUAGGUAGUUGGUGGGGUAAAGGCCCACCAAGCCAACGAACUGUAGCUGGUCUGAGAGGACGACCAGCCACACUGGAACUGAGACACGGUCCAGACUCCUACGGGAGGCAGCAGUGGGGAAUUUUGGACAAUGGGCGAAAGCCUGAUCCAGCCAUUCCGCGUGCAGGAUGAAGGCCCUCGGGUUGUAAACUGCUUUUGUACAGAACGAAAAGGUUUCUACUAAUACUAGGAGCUCAUGACGGUACUGUAAGAAUAAGCACCGGCUAACUACGUGCCAGCCGCCGCAGUAA
rnacentral:rRNA from 1 species